UACGUAGGGUGCGAGCGUUGUCCGGAAUUAUUGGGCGCAAAGAGCUCGUAGGCGGUUCGAUAAGUCGGGUGUGAAAUCUCGGAGCUUAACUCCGAAACUGCAUUCGAUACUGCCGUGCUUGAGGACUGGAGAGGAGACUGGAAUUUACGGUGUAGCGGUGAAAUGCGUAGAUAUCGUAAGGAAGACCAGUGGCGAAGGCGGGUCUCUAGACAGUUCCUGACGCUGAGGCACGAAGGUCAGGGGAGCAAACGGG
rnacentral:rRNA from 1 species